rnacentral:rRNA from 1 species
UAGGGAAUCUUCGGCAAUGGGGGGAACCCUGACCGAGCAACGCCGCGUGAGUGAAGAAGGUUUUCGGAUCGUAAAGCUCUGUUGUUAAGGAAGAACGAGUGUGAGAAUGGAAAGUUCAUGCUGUGACGGUACUUAACCAGAAAGGGACGGCUAACUACGUGCCAGCAGCCGCGGUAAUACGUAGGUCCCGAGCGUUGUCCGGAUUUAUUGGGCGUAAAGCGAGCGCAGGCGGUUAGAAAAGUCUGAAGUGAAAGGCAGUGGCUCAACCAUUGUAGGCUUUGGAAGCUGUUUAACUUGAGUGCAGAAGGGGAGGGUGGAAUUCCAUGUGUAGCGGUGAAAUGCGUAGAUAUAUGGAGGAACACCGGUGGCGAAAGCGGCUCUCUGGUCUGUAACUGACGCUGAGGCUCGAAAGCGUGGGGAGCGAACAGG